AGUGAACGCUGGCGGUAGGCCUAACACAUGCAAGUCGAACGGCAGCACAGUAAGAGCUUGCUCUUACGGGUGGCGAGUGGCGGACGGGUGAGGAAUACAUCGGAAUCUACUUUUUCGUGGGGGAUAACGUAGGGAAACUUACGCUAAUACCGCAUACGACCUAUGGGUGAAAGCAGGGGAUCUUCGGACCUUGCGCGAUUGAAUGAGCCGAUGUCGGAUUAGCUAGUUGGCGGGGUAAAGGCCCACCAAGGCGACGCUCCGUAGCUGGUCUGAGAGGAUGAUCAGCCACACUGGAACUGAGACACGGCCCAGACUCCUACGGGAGGCAGCAGUGGGGAAUAUUGGGCGAUGGGCGCAAGCCUGAUCCAGCCAUACCGCGUGGGUGAAGAAGGCCUUCGGGUUGUAAAGCCCUUUUGUUGGGAGAGAAAAGCAGCAGGUUAAUACCCCGCUGUUCUGACGGUACCCAAAGAAUAAGCACCGGCUAACUUCGUG
rnacentral:rRNA from 1 species